CCUACGGGGUGCAGCAGUGGGGGAUAUUGCACAAUGGGGGAAACCCUGAUGCAGCGACGCCGCGUGGGUGAAGAAGCGCCUCGGCGCGUAAAGCCCUGUCAGCAGGGAAGAAAAUGACGGUACCUGCAGACGAAGCCCCGGCUAACUACGUGCCAGCAGCCGCGGUAAUACGUAGGGGGCAAGCGUUAUCCGGAUUUACUGGGUGUAACGGGGGCGCAGACGGCGAUGCAAGCCAGGCGUGAAAGCCCGGGGCCCAACCCCGGGACUGCUCGUGGAACUGCGGGGCUAGAGUGCAGGCGGGGCAGGCGGAAUUCCUGGUGUAGCGGUGAAAUGCGUAGAUAUCAGGAGGAACACCGGUGGCGAAGGCGGCCUGCUGGACUGCAACUGACGUUGAGGCCCGAAAGCGUGGGGAGCAAACAGGAUUAGAUACCCCAGUAGUC
rnacentral:rRNA from 1 species